rnacentral:rRNA from 1 species
CAGUAGCCACGGUAAUACAGAGGGUGCAAGCGUUAAUCGGAAUUACUGGGCGUAAAGCGUGCGCAGAUGGUUAUGUAAGUCAGAUGUGAAAGCCCCGGGCUCAACCUGGGAAUUGCAUUUGAGACUGUGUAGCUAGGGUGCGGUAGAGGGAAGCGGAAUUUCCGGUGUAGCGGUGAAAUGCGUAGAUAUCGGAAGGAACACCAGUGGCGAAAGCGGCUUCCUGGACCAGCACCGACAUUCAGGCACGAAAGCGUGGGGAGCAAACAGGAUUAGAUACCCCAGUAGUCCCUGUCUCUUAUAA